GCCCAUCCAAACGCUACUGGAAAGGCAACAAAGGGGGAAACAAACUAGCCGUUUUUUUUUUUUGGAAACGCACGAAAUCGCAACAAACACAUCGCGGGGAAAAGGGAGCGCUGCAGGGACGGCGGAGGAUACGUCUGACGGUACGACGCGCAGCAGCAGCAGCAGCGGCUUCGGCGGAGGGAAGCGCCGGGCUCGGAGUGCGAGGGGGACGGGGGGAGCCAUCCAGCAGCAGCCGCCGCCGCCGCUACACUUGUGCACAAACCCGGAGGAGCCACGCUGACUUUUCUUCGUCUCCCGCCACCUCCACCUCCACAACCCCCCCCCACACAACCACCACCACCAAACCACAACGGAUCUCCAGCCGGUUCCACGCGGCGUGUUGUGCGCGCGUCCGGGGGGUUGGUGACCGACGAGUUCCCCGAGACCUGCGUUUGGGAUGAAAGCUGGGAGCCAAUGUAAAGAAACAGCAGCGGAGUGAAGACAGCUGCAGGGCGGAGACAAGGCGGGCUACGCCACCACGCAGGAGGCCUGGGGAAAUCAUUAACCGCACACACCACACAUACAGUAUGACCGGUAGGUUCCUCCCCGUCUUCUCUCACAUGUUUAAUAAAAG